GGUGAAAAGCACUUCGAACAGAAGAGUGAAAUAGUUCCUGAACCCAUACGCCUACAAGCUGUCGGAGCCGCUUCGUGCGGUGACGGCGUGCCUUUUGCAUAAUGAGCCUACGAGUUACUCAUCACCAGCGAGGUUAAGUACUUCAGGUACGUAAGCCGAAGCGAAAGCGAGUCUGAAUAGGGCGUCAAGUUGGUGGUGGUAGACGCGAAACCUUAGUGAUCUACCCAUGGGCAGGGUGAAGGUUUGGUAACACAAACUGGAGGCCCGAACCGGUAAACGUUGAAAAGUUUUCGGAUGACCUGUGGGUAGGGGUGAAAGGCCAAUCAAACUGGGAAAUAGCUCGUACUCUCCGAAAUGCAUUUAGGUGCAGCCUCUGUUGUUUUGUUCUAGAGGUAGAGCUACUGAUUGGAUGCGAGGGCUUCACCGCCUAUCAAAUCCGGCCAAACUCCGAAUGCUAGAACAUGAAGACAGGGAGUGAGCCAGCGGGUGCUAAGGUCCGUUGACGAAAGAGGGAGAACUCAGACCAUCAGCUAAGGUCCCCAAUUAUAUGCUAAGUUGGAAUAAAAACGGGGUGGGACUGCUUAGACAGCUAGGAUGUUGGCUUGGAAGCAGCCAUUCAUUUAAAGAGUGCGUAACAGCUCACUAGUCGAGCGGUCCUGCAUGGAUAAUACGCGGGCAUAAGCAUAUAACCGAAGCUAUGGGAUUGUAGAUGAUACAAUCGGUAGGAGAGCAUUCCAUUCAGCAUAGAAGCAGUACCGUGAGGUAUUGUGGAGCGGAUGGAAAAGCAAAUGUAGGCAUAAGUAACGAUAAUGCGGGUGAGAACCCCGCACGCCGAAAGAUCAAGGAUUCCCCGGCAAUGUCAAUCAUCCGGGGGUAAGUCGGAUCCUAAGGGUAAGCCGAGUGGCGAUCCCGAUGGUAAACAGGUUAAUAUUCCUGUACUGAUCAUAACUGCGAUGCAGCGACGCAGAGGUGACACUGCUGCGUACUGACGGAAUAGUACGUUGAAACCCGUAUUCUUUGAUACCGGUAGUGAAGCACGCCGGUAGAGAUGAAAGGUGAUAGUACCGCAAUGCUUCGGUUGCGCGGAUAAUGCAGGUAAGCUGACUGCCAAGAAAACCUGCUAAGCUUCAGGUAAUGAUCAUCCGUACUGUAAACGGACACACGUGAUCAGGUAGAAAAUACUAAGGCGCUCGAGAGAUUCAUGGUUAAGGAACUAGGCAAAAUGGUCCUGUAACUUCGGGAUAAAGGACGCUCUUGUGAAAGAGCCGCAGAUAAUAGGCCCAGGCGACUGUUUACCAAAAACACAUGGCUAUGCUAAUUCGCAAGAAGAUGUAUAUGGCCUGACACCUGCCCGGUGCCGGAAGGUUAAGAGGAGAGCUCAGAGGUAACUCGAAGGUUUGAAUUGAAGCCCCGGUAAACGGCGGCCGUAACUAUAACGGUCCUAAGGUAGCGAAAUUCCUUGUCGGGUAAGUUCCGACCUGCACGAAUGGUGUAACGAUCUGGGUACUGUCUCAACCAUGAGCUCGGUGAAAUUGUAGUUCCGGUGAAGAUGCCGGAUACCCGCAACGGGACGGAAAGACCCCGUGAACCUUUACUGCAGCUUUGCAUUGAUUUUGGGUAACAGAUGUGUAGGAUAGGUCGGAGGCUUUGAUGCUGCGUCGUCAGGCGUAGAGUAGCCGUCGUUGAAAUACGACCCUUUUGUUAUCUGAGGUCUAACCCGUUAGGGAGACAUUGCAUGGUGGGUAGUUUGACUGGGGUGGUCGCCUCCAAAAGUGUAACGGAGGCUUCUCAAGGUACCCUCAAGGCGUUUGGUAAUCGUCUGCAGAGUGCAAUGGCAUAAGGGUGCUUGACUGUGAGACCGACACGUCGAUCAGGUUGGAAACAAGAGCAUAGUGAUCCGGUGGUUCCGCAUGGAAGGGCCAUCGCU
rnacentral:rRNA from 1 species